rnacentral:lncRNA from 1 species
CCUUGGGGUACACACUUUUGUGAACGGAGUGUGCGUUUGCCAAACAUUAUAUAUAAGACACACGCGAGCGCGCCCGCGGCGGAGACCAAGUCUCACACGUUUUCCACACGCGCAAGCUUCAGCUCCACGUUUCCGCGUCGUGGGUUACCGUUACUGGGUCGUGGGCUAUGUUUGGCGGGUCGCAAACCGGGUCGGCGGAGAAAACGAGGUCAAAUCCCCUCUAUAAAUAGAGAGCUCGGGAUUUGGAUUCUUCACUCCAAAACCGAGAAUCGAAUCCUCUUCUCUGGUUUUCUCCCCUUCUCAUCUCCCUCGGUUUGUGUUGACGAAUCGUUCUUUUCUUCCUCCUUCUUUGGUUUCUCGAGUGGUCGCGGCGGAGACCAAGUCUCACACGUUUUCCACACGCGCAAGCUUCAGCUCCACGUUUCCGCGUCGUGGGCUAUGUUUGGCGGGUCGCAAACCGGGUCGGCGGAGAAAACGAGGUCAAAUCCCCUCUAUAAAUAGAGAGCUCGGGAUUGGGAUUCUUCACUCCAAAGCCGAGAAUCGAAAAUCCUCUUCUCUGGUUUUCUCCCCUUCUCAUCUCCCUCGGUUUGUGUUGACGAAUCGUUCUUUUCUUCCUCCUUCUUUGGUUUCUCGAGUGGUCUGCGUACCAUAUUAGAGUGGUUUUUCGAAACCAUAUUGAGGUGUUAUUCUCGAGCGAUUUUUAGCAGUGCAGCCUUUAAUCGUACAGUUAGAAUCUGGGCUGUUUUAUCCUGGAGACGACGCGGUUACUAGUCUACCUUGCACAAUUUAGGUAGUGCCGCGAAACGUCUUAAAGAAAGCGACCUGGUCGUGACUCACCCCGCUAAUACUUUCAAAGCUCUGUCGUAAUUUUCCAAAUUCCAAAAACAACAUUUUUAAGACGUUUCGAACACGAUACGAUGAGUUCUAAAAAAAUUACCGCGGUUUCAGUUGAUGAUUUUAACAAACCGUUUUUGUUUACGGGAAGCCACGUCAAACGUUGGCAGCAAAAGAUGUUGUUUUACGGGAAGCCACUGAAAAAGAAACUAAAACCUGAUGGGUCAAUCGAUAAAUACAAGGCACGCCUUGUAGCCAAAGGUUUUAGACAAAGAGAAAAUGUAGAUUUCUUUGACACAUAUUCGCCUGUAACUAGAAUCACGUCCAUUAGGAUACUAAUAUCUUUGGCGGCCAUCCACAAUUUGAUAGUACACCAAAUGGAUGUAAAAACUGCUUUUUUAAACGGUGAAUUAGAAGAAUAAAUCUACAUGGACCCACCUGAAGGUUUCGUAAAUCAUGGACAAGAGAACAAAGUUUGUAAGUUGGACAAAUCUUUGUAUGGUCUAAAACAAGCACCGAAACAAUGGCAUGAGAAAUUCGACAAUCUAAUGAUUGAGAAUGAGUAUAAGGUGAAUGAAAGCGACAAGUGUAUUUAUUCCAAGUACGAAAACAACACUUGCACGAUCAUAUGUCUAUACGUAGACGACUUACUCAUAUUUGGUUCAAACCUCAAUGCCAUUAAAGAUGUGAAAUCACUGUUGUGCCACAACUUUGAUAUGAAAGACCUAGGAGAAGCAGAUGUAAUUCUUGAAAUCAAGAUUACUAGAACUGAUAAUGGAAUUUCCUUGAAUCAAUCUCACUACGUUGAGAAGAUCUUAAGGAAAUAUAAUUACUUCGAUUGUAAACCUGCGAGCACACCUUGUGACCCAAGUGUGAAGCUAUUUAAGAACACUGGAGAUAGUGUUAGACAAACUGAAUAUGCGAGCAUCAUGGGCAGUCUCAGAUAUGCCACUGAUUGUACUAGACCCGACAUCGGCUACGCCGUGGGACUACUAUGCAAGUUUACGAGCAGGCCAAGCAUGGAGCAUUGGCAAGCUAUCGAAAGAGUCAUGAGAUAUUUGAAGAAGACCAUGACUCUAGGAUUGCAUUAUCAGAGAUAUCCUGCAGUGCUUGAAGGAUACAGUGACGCAGAUUGGAACACCUUAUCAGAUGAUUCCAAAGCGACCAGUGGCUAUAUAUUUAGCAUUGCUGGAGGAGUUGUUUCCUGGAAAUCCAAGAAACAGACCAUUCUGGCUCAGUCCACAAUGGAAUCUGAGAUGAUAGCACUAGCUGCUGCUAGUGAAGAAGCAAGUUGGCUAAGAUGCUUGCUAUCUGAAAUCCCUUUAUGGGAGAGACCGUUACCAACUGUGUUAAUUCAUUGUGAUAGUACCGCGGCUAUCGCAAAGAUUGAGAAUCGUUAUUACAAUGGUAAGAGACAACAGAUAAGACGAAAACACAGCAUGAUAAGAGAAUAUCUUUCGAACGGAACGGUAAGAGUAGAUUUCGUACGAACAAAUGAAAACUUAGCUGAUCCUUUGACGAAAGGACUAAACAGAGAGAAAGUCGCAAAUACAUCCAAUAGGAUGGGACUAAUGCCUAUUGAUCAUAAGUGAUGGAAACUCGACCUAAAUGACUGAAGAUCCCAAAAACUAGGUUCAAUGGGUAAUAACAAGUCACAAGUGAUAGAACAUGCUAUGAGAAAGCAUGAUCCUGCCGUGACCGAAGGUUGAGAUAAUAGAAACUCUUAAUGAGAUCUAUACUCCUAAUGGAGUGAAGUACAUAGCUACAGGAGUACUUAUGAUAGACUCACCUAUACGUAUGUAGAACUGAUGCCGGUUCUUAUGGAAUUUCGAGGCAGAAUUCCUAGAGCAUUCGUUAAAACUGGGAUAGACAUGCAAGGCCAUUAACGCACAGGCUUUUAGAAAACACCUAAGAAAAGGUUGUGUGUGGGUCCUAUGUUUGAGAUAGAGUUCAAUGCUGUAAGCAACUCUUGUUAAUCGGAAUACUACUCACUAUGCAAAGGUUCAAGUUGUUGGCGACACCUUUGUUUACUAGCAAUCUUUAAGAAACGUCUAAAACGUAACUAUCGAAACCAAUUUUGAAUUCAAAUGGGGGAUUGUUGGAACACUAGUGUAUAUUGGCAAAAACUUGGAGUAUACUAGUUGUUAUGUGGAGCCUUUGGAAUGUAAACACAAGGAUGGAGAAACUAGUGUAAAGUGUGAAUUGAAAAUUUUAUGGCCCACAUUAGGUAGAUCACACACUCUAGUAGUGUUUAUAUAUGUGGGA